AUGGCAGCGUCGCUGGCGGUGUCUUCCAGGGGCCGCCCCUGUGACCGCGUCAUUUGUGUCCCCACAGCACGUUUCUUGGAGCAGUUUGAGUGUCGUCCCCUCAACGGGACGGAGCGCGCGGCUCCUGGUCAGACACACCUACAACCGGGAGGAGUAUGUGGGUUCGACGGCGCCGUGGGGGGCUCCGGGCGGUGACGGAGCUGGGGCGGCCUGACCAACAGUACUACGACAGCCGGGAGGACAUCAUGGAGCAGACACGGGCCGCGGCGGACACCGUGUGCAGACGCGACGACAGGAUUCCUGAGAGGUUCCUGGUGCCGCGGAGAGUCCAACCUAAGGUGACUGUGUAUCCUGCAAAGACCCAGCCCCUGCAGCACCACAGCCUCCUGGUCUGCUCUGUGAGUGGGUUCUAUCCAGGCAGCAUUGAAGUCAGGUGGUUCCGGAACGACCAGGAAGAGAAGGCUGGGGUGGUGUCCACAGGCCUGAUCCAGAAUGGAGGCUGGACCUUCCAGACCCUGGUGAUGCUGGAAACAGUUCCUCAGAGUGGAGAGGUUUACAUCAGCCAAGUGGAGCACCCAAGCGUGAUGAGCCCUCUCACAGUGCAAUGGAGGGCACAGUCUGAAUCUGCACAGAGCAAGAUGCUGAGUGGACUCAGGGGCUUUGUGCUUGGCCUGCUCUUCUUGGGGCAGGGCUGUUCAUCUACUUCAGGAAUCAGAAAGGACGUUCUGCACUUUGGCCAUCGGGACUCCUGAGCUGAAGGGAAGGUGACCACAUUCAAGGAAGAACCUUCUGCCCCAGCUUUGCAGGAUGAAAAGCUUUCCCGCUUGGCUCUUAUUCUUCCACAAAAGAGAGAGCUUUCUCAGGACCUGGCUGCUACUGGUUCAGCAGCUCAGCAGGAAUGUCCUCCCUUGCGGCUUCCUCAGCUCCUGCCCUUGGCCUGAAAGCCCAGCAUUGAUAGCUAUGCCUCAAGGUCAAAUUUGUGCUCCCCUUCACCUAACCCUACAACCUCCCAUGCAUCUGUACUCACCCUGUGCCACAAACAUGUUACGUUAUUAAAUUUUUUGCAAACAUGGA